ACGGGGUGCAGCAGGGGCGAAACCUCCGCAAUGCUCGAAAGAGCGACGGGGGGACCCCCAGNNCCGUGGCAUCGCCACGGCUUUUCCGGAGUGUAAAGAGCUCCGGGAAUAAGGGNUGGGCAAGGCCGGUGGCAGCCGCCGCGGUAAUACCGGCGGCCCGAGUGGUGGCCGCUAUUAUUAGGCCUAAAGCGUCCGUAGCCGGGCCAGUAAGUCCCUGGCGAAAUCCCACGGNUCAACCGUGGGGCUUGCUGGGGAUACUGCUGGCCUUGGGACCGGGAGAGGCGGAGGGUACUCCUGGGGUAGGGGUGAAAUCCUAUAAUCCCAGGAGGACCGCCAGUGGCGAAGGCGCUCCGCUGGAACGGGUCCGACGGUGAGGGACGAAGGCCAGGGGAGCGAACCGGAUUAGAUACCCGGGUAGUCCUGGCUGUAAAGGAUGCGGGCUAGGUGUCGGGUGAGCUUNNNGNNCGCCCGGUGCCGAAGGGAAGCCGUUAAGCCCGCCGCCUGGGGAGUACGGCCGCAAGGCUGAAACUUAAAGGNNNNNGCGGGGGAGCAC
rnacentral:rRNA from 1 species